rnacentral:rRNA from 1 species
ACGGAGGGGACUAGCGUUGUUCGGAAUUACUGGGCGUAAAGCGCACGUAGGCGGAUUUGUAAGUCAGGGGUGAAAUCCCGGGGCUCAACCUCGGAACUGCCUUUGAUACUGCAAAUCUCGAGUCCGGAAGAGGUGAGUGGAAUUCCUAGUGUAGAGGUGAAAUUCGUAGAUAUUAGGAAGAACACCAGUGGCGAAGGCGGCUUACUGGACGAUUGUUGACGCUGAGGUGCGAAAGCGUGGGGAGCAAACAGGA